GCCAAAAAUCUAGCCCAACAAUACAUGAAUUUUACUUAACUAACUAAACCGCAUAAACUAAACCAUUUUAAUUUUCUAGUAAAGGCGAUUGAAAAACUUAUUGGAGCUAUAACAAUAGUACCGCAAGGGAAUAAUGAAAUAUAUAAUGAAAAAUUUUUAAGCAACUUAAAGUAAAGACUACCCCUUGUACCUUUUGCAUCAUGGUUUAGCUAGUCUAACCAAGCAAAACGAAUUUAAGUUUGACCCCCCGAAACUAAGUGAGCUACUUCAGGGCAGCUAUAGAGCACACCCGUCUCUGUUGCAAAAGAGUGGGAUGACCUUCAAGUAGCGGUGACAAACCUAACGAGCUUAGUGAUAGCUGGUUACUCAAGAAAAGGAUAUAAGUCCAACCUGAAUCUAAUAAUAUGUCACAAAAGCAGCUACUUAACUUUUCAGAGUAAUUCAAAUAAGGUACAGCCUAUUUGAAACAGGAUACAACCUAAAUUAUUGGAUAAAACUAAUUAUAUAAAUAACCAAGUAGGCUUAAGAGCAGCCACCUUUAAAAAUAGCGUCAAAGCUUAAUUAUUUUUUUAUCUAAUCCCAACAAUCUUAUCUUAAUCCACUACUAAUAUUGAGUAAUUCUAUAACACUAUAGAAAUUUUUAUGCUAAAACUAGUAACAAGAAGAUAACCUUCUCUUAAAUGUAAGUGUAAAUCAGAAAGGAUCUACCACUGAUAAUUAUCAUCCUUGAACCCAAAAUAGGAACCAACCAAGAAAACUCUAUUAUUACCAAUGUUAAACUUACACAAGAACAUUUAAAGAAAGAUUUAAAGAAAAAGAAGGAAUUCGGCAAACCUUAACCUCGCCUGUUUACCAAAAACAUCGCCUCUUGUCUAUCUUAUAAGAGGUCCAGCCUGCCCAGUGAAUAUAUUCAACGGCCGCGGUAUCCUAACCGUGCAAAGGUAGCGUAAUCACUUGUCCUCCAAAUAAGGACUUGAAUGAACGGCUUCACGAAGGUUAAACUGUCUCCUUUUUCUAAUCAGUUAACCUAAUCUCCCCGUGAAGAAGCGGGGAUACUACUAUAAGACGAGAAGACCCUAUGGAGCUUAAAACUAUACAGCAACUGCUUUACAGAUAAACAUUUCAGAAUAUUCUCCCUAAAUAAGCAACAUGACUGUUAAUUUUUGGUUGGGGUGACCACGGAGAAUAAUAUAACCUCCAUGCUGAAAGAAUUUUAUUCUAAGCCAAGAAUCACUAUCCUAAGCAUCAGUAUACUGGCAUUAAUUGACCCAAUAUAAUUGAACAACGAACCAAGUUACCCUAGGGAUAACAGCGCAAUCCACUUCAAGAGCUCCUAUCGACAAGCGGGUUUACGACCUCGAUGUUGGAUCAGGGUUUCCCAGUGGUGCAGCCGCUACUAAAGGUUCGUUUGUUCAACGAUUAAAACCCUACGUGAUCUGAGU
rnacentral:rRNA from 1 species